rnacentral:lncRNA from 1 species
GACUAUUUCUAAUUGUUUAGUUUAUAUUGCCGCACUUGCUGAUUUGUUUGUUAAUUUUAGUGAGGGAGGGGAUAUUUAUGAACUUGCAAUACAUGAAAUGAAAAAAAAGUUUAAAAAAUAUUUUUGGUGUAGCUGCUAUGUUAAAUUCAACUAUGAAAUUAGGAGGUCCUCACUUUUGGUAUUCUACUAUUUAUCGAUCUUCAGAUCUUUCAGAAGUAGAAAUUGCUACACUAGCUGAUGCGAAAGCAUCAAUUAAAGUUAAUGCUCAAACUGUUUAUAAUGCUUAUAAACAGGC